rnacentral:ncRNA from 1 species
GAGGCGCCCAAAGGUUCCCUCAGCCUGGUUGGCAAUCAGGUGUCGAGUGUAAGUGCACAAGGGAGCUUGACUGUGAGAGCGACAGCUCGAGCAGGGACGAAAGUCGGGACUAGUGAUCCGGCGGUACAUUGUGGAAUGGCCGUCGCUCAACGGAUAAAAGGUACCUCGGGGAUAACAGGCUGAUCUUGCCCAAGAGUCCAUAUCGACGGCAUGGUUUGGCACCUCGAUGUCGGCUCGUCGCAUCCUGGGGCUGGAGUUGGUCCCAAGGGUUGGGCUGUUCGCCCAUUAAAGCGGUACGCGAGCUGGGUUCAGAACGUCGUGAGACAGUUCGGUCCCUAUCCGCUGCGCGCGCAGGAAAUUUGAGAAGACCUGUCCUUAGUACGAGAGGACCGGGACGGACGAACCUCUGGUAUGGCAGUUGUACCGCCAGGUGCACCGCUGCUUCGCUACGUUCGGAAGAGAUAACCGCUGAAAGCAUCUAAGCGGGAAGCUCGCUUCGAGAUGAGAUUUCCAGACCCGCAAGGGUGAGAGGCCCCCAGCGAGACCACUGGGUUGAUAGGCCGGAGGUGGAAGCACGAACCAACGACGUGUGCAGCCGACCGGUACUAAUACGCCGACAACUUACCCCA